AUCUGUGGAUGAAAGCAGGGGACUUGGUAGCAAUACUGGGCCUUGUGCGAUUGGAGCGGCCGAUGUCAGAUUAGCUAGUUGGUAGGGUAAAAGCCUACCAAGGCGACGAUCUGUAGCUGGUCUGAGAGGACGACCAGCCACACUGGGACUGAGACACGGCCCAGACUCCUACGGGAGGCAGCAGUGGGGAAUUUUGGACAAUGGGCGCAAGCCUGAUCCAGCAAUGCCGCGUGCAGGACGAAGGCCUUCGGGUUGUAAACUGCUUUUGUACGGAGCGAAACGGUCUGGGUUAAUACCCUAGGCUAAUGACGGUACCGUAAGAAUAAGCACCGGCUAACUACGUGCCAGCAGCCGCGGUAAUACGUAGGGUGCGAGCGUUAAUCGGAAUUACUGGGCGUAAAGCGUGCGCAGGCGGUUUUGUAAGACAGGCGUGAAAUCCCCGGGCUCAACCUGGGAAUGGCGCUUGUGACUGCAAAGCUAGAGUGCGGCAGAGGGGGAUGGAAUUCCGCGUGUAGCAGUGAAAUGCGUAGAUAUGCGGAGGAACACCGAUGGCGAAGGCAAUCCCCUGGGCCUGCACUGACGCUCAUGCACGAAAGCGUGGGGAGCAAACAGGAUUAGAUACCCU
rnacentral:rRNA from 1 species